UAACUGCAUGCAACAUGUUGUGAUGAAAUGACAUUUGUGGAGCUCUGGACAAAAGAAAACAAAAUCGAUGAUUCAAAAAAACUAUUGUUGGAAGCAUUUUGGAUCAUCAAUUUUAUUUUUUACAGACCUCCAGCAAUGUCGUUUCAUUAGAAAACCUUUGCAGGAAGUUAAAACAUUAAUCACAAAAAAAAAUCAGUUUUUUGAAUUUUUACUAGUUUUCUGUUUCUUUACUGUUUUUUAGGGUGCAUGCGAGCUCCGGUAAAAGGGCACUUUUGUAAAAUAGCAGACACCUCAAUCUCUCUGAUUCCUCCCCAAAUCAGCCGCCCCUACCUCACUCUCUUCCCCACCCGCCGCCGCCUACAGAAGGCCCAGCUCCGGCACCACCCCCCACCUAUCUCUCUCUCCCCGCGCCGCCUCCGUCCUCCCCUCCCGCGGGCCGGCCUCCUCUCGGCACGCGCAGCUCGGCGACUCUUCAUCCGGUUAAGUGAAGCGGCUCGAGCGCGCAGCCAUGGCCGCCCCUGUUCUGCCGCCUGCAAAGAGGAAGAAGGAGGGUCCGCCUCGUCUGGAAACCUCGCCGCUCCUUCCGGUCGCAGCCGCAGGCUGGUCCGCGCUCCCGCCCGACCUCGUCCGCCACGUCGCGGACUCCCUCCUGGCCACUAACGACCUCGACUUCUACAUGGACUUCCGCGCAGUCUGCUCCGGUUGGCGCGCCGCCACCGAUGACCCCAGGAGCGACGCCACCGACCCCCGCUUCCGCCCGCGCCGCUGGAUCGUCCUCGACGAGGUCUUCCAGAGCCAAGGAAAGAUGCUCCUGUUGAACACCGACUCCGGCCGCUUUCUCCACAGAGAACUCCCGCUGCUCAACGACCACCACGUCGUGGCAACCACUCGCAAUGGCUACCUGGUCCUGGCGGACAAAAGCCCUCCUCACGCGGUCAACGUCCUCAACCCUCUCACCCGCGUUGUCAUCCGUUUCGUGGCGCCGGUGCCCCCCAAGGUGGGAUCCGCCGCUGUCGUCUUCUUUGACGACUCUUCUCCCACGCUCACCUUGUUCUGCGAUUCAUCUCACAAUGUUUACACGGCUGACCUCAGCGAUAUUGGUUUUGACGUCCUAGAGGGUCCCGGACCGGAAGCAGAGUAUGAUUUCUUCCGUAAGACGGUCCUGGCUGGUGUUUACGCAGACAUAGAGCCGGCAUUUCAUGGUGUGCUUGAUGAUUUAUGCAGUUUGCUCAUGUCUGGUGAUGUUGCCAAGUUUUUCCCCGGCGGUCUUCCAGAUGCAACCGACCUCAAAUGGUUUCCAGUGGGUUUGGGUAAACAUAUGCUGCUUGUUGUGAAUGCAGAGGGAUCGAUCUUUGUUUUAAAAAAGAACAUUCAGAUAGGUAAGCUUGUGGCUUUGGACAGCAUCAGCAACUAUGCCAUCUUCAUGGGUCUUCAGAGGUGCCUGGCUGUCGAUGCUGAGAAGUUCCCAGGCAUCGAGGCAAACUGUGUCUACUACAUUGAAAAUCUGGGUUCGUCAGCUCACAUCUGCAAGUGCAACAUCAAGAACAGGAAAGUAGAGAGGAUCUCUGAAGCUGCCGAUUUCGUGAAGCACGGCAAGCAGUUUGUCCUGGUUGCUGACCGUCCUUUGACGAUCAUCCACCUUCUCUCCAGCUACACCAUCAACAUCCCUGAUUCUCAAAUGGCCUUACAACAGAUUCCAUAAGGCGCUGGCAGAUGUUCAACUUUGGGGAGAUUGAUCUCGAUGACUGACAGACAAAGGCUAUGGUUUUGCUAACUUAUCAUUGCUGCGAAGAACUUAAGAUGUUCCCAGCUUGUCUUCAGUGCUGUUUCAACUGGGCGUUUGGUGCAACUGAUCCGUAAUCACCAUAUAAGAGAACUAGACUCAAUACCAAUAGCUCAAAAUGUCGGUGUAAUGCUGCAACAGUAAGCAAAGAACAGCAGUUGAAAGUACAUGCACAACUACUAGUUGUCAGCCUAACCUUUACAAUUUCUUCUUCAUCUCGAACUGCAGUGAAAUAUCGGUUUGCUCUCUGAGAAAAGACUGCCCCGGUUGAGUUUUUGCGCAGCUGCAGCUUAUUACCAUUCAGCAAUGUAUUAGCUUUUUGUUUACUGUACCAGCAGUGAGCUUGGGGUGGUUGGAUCCUGGUAAGUUGAAUCUUGCAUUGUGUCAUUGAGAUCAUCAAUUCCUUCAGUUAGGAUAUCAGUUGUUUUUCUUUUAAAAAAUGAAUCAGUAUGUUCAGUUACUAGAUGAUUACUGGUACAACACUAAAUUGGUCGUUUUGUUCUGUACCUGUGAACCCUCUUUUGUUUCAGAUGGUACUUAUGAUACUCUGAAUGAAUGCCUCUUGUGCCGCUUCUGCGUUCUCUGCUUUUUUAUUGCGGAGAACUAGUUACUUGGUGUAAGUAUUAUUUCAGCGACCCAAUGCUGUUAUCGGGGAUCUACUUACAUUGUUUUGCUGCAUUUCACUGGCCAGCAUGUGAAUCAACUACAACCUCAUACACCUAGUUCCCAAAUAAUGCAGAAAACAACACCAGAUGUUCUCAGUAACCUAACCCAGAAUAAUAAAUUAUUAAAACUUCCUAUAGGGAGCAGGGCAGAGGGGGGAGCUGUGCCUCCAAGGA